rnacentral:rRNA from 1 species
UACAGAAGGUGCAAACAUUGUUCGGAAUUACUGGGCGUAAAGCGCGUGCAGGCAACCUUGCAAGUCGGACGUGAAAUCCCACAGCUCAACCGUGGAAGUGCAUUCGAAACUGCGAGGCUGGAGUCCUGGAGAGGAAAGUGGAAUACUCGGUGUAGAGGUGAAAUUCGUAGAUAUCGAGUGGAACACCGGUGGCGAAAGCGGCUUUCUGGACCGACACUGACGCUGAGGCGCGAAAGCUAGGGGAGCAAACGGG